AGUACUACGGGUGGUUUGCGAUGGCUGUCGUCAGCUCGUGUCGUGAGAUGUUCGGUUAAGUCCGCUAACGAGCGCAACCCUCGUCGUAUGUUAUAUGUGUCAUACGAGACUGCCGGUAAAAGCCGGAGGAAGGUGAGGAUGAUGUACAAGUCAGCAUGACCUUUAUAUCCAGGGCUACACACACGCUACAAUGGUCUGUGCAAUGGGUAGCCAAGCCGCGAGGCGGAGCCAAGUCCUGAAAAGCAAGGCCUCAGUUCAGAUUGCAGUCUGCAACUCGACUGCAUGAAGCCGGAGUUGCUAGUAACCGCAGGUCAGCUAUACUGCGGUGAAUACGUUCCCGGGGCUU
rnacentral:rRNA from 1 species